rnacentral:tRNA from 1 species
ACCGAAAUGGUGAAAUGGUAUACACGUUACUUUGAGAGAGUAAUGGAAUUUCCAUACGGGUUCAAAUCCCGUUUUCGGUACAA